rnacentral:rRNA from 1 species
AAAUAAAUAGGCGGUGUCUGAGCUAAAAAACAGAGGAUCCUGGGCACUAAGGGACAAUCCACCUUCAGUUCUACCUUAUUUUAAUAAAGCGCGUGUAUGGUUGUCUACUCUAAUGUUAAAACGUCCGGGUUGAUGCCUUAGUUUAUUUUAGAUAAGCUAAGAAAUAAUUCAGAUUUACAUGCGGCUAUAUUAAGGGAGUUCUGGGAUACAAUUGUAACUGAAGCAAUUAAGCUUUUUCGGAAGAAUUUAACGAAAAAAUAAAGAGAAAUCUUAUUUUGAAGAAGGAUUUGUAAGUAAACACUUCAAAUUAUGUUGUGUUGAAUACAAUCAGAUGAGUACUAACUGCCCGUCGCUCGCGGAGAAAUCUGUGAAAAGUCGUAACAAGGUAGCGGUAACGGAAGUUGUCGCUAAUUUAAU